rnacentral:rRNA from 1 species
UCUUAAGCUAAAAUUUGUUACACUGCCUGGGAACUACGGACAAUGGUUUAAAACUCGAAGGGCUUGGCGGUGCACUAAUCCUCCCAGGGGAACUUGGCCCUUAAUUCGAUGAUCCACGAGAUUCUUACCUUUUCUAGUCCUUGGUUAAUCAGGCCAAGGGUUCAGCUCGCAUACCGCCGUUUUGCAGCCUGUAUUGGAAAAGUAAAGAAACAGGUGACGCAGCAUAUUGUAUUUGCUCCUAAUUCAGGUAAAGGUGUGGCCUAUGAAAAGGGGGUGCUGAGUUACAGUUGGUGUUUUUAGUGGAUCAGUUGCGCUAAGCGCUUGGUGAAAGAGGACUUGGAAGUAAUGCCUUUGGUCAAAGAAGGUGUGAAUAGUGCUCUAGUGUGUGU